AGCUCUGGCAAGCCCCACUAGCCCUGUUCAAGCCCACUUGGCUUUUUCUCUCGGGAGUUCCACUGUCCUGUAUGUCAACCCUGAGUUCCGAGAAGUAGUCUUCCUUGUUACUCUUCCAAUUAUCGACUCCCGCAAUAUCUAUCGCCUAAAAGACGUAAUUAAUGUUGACACCUGGCAAAGUGACACAUUCUGUCACGUACGUGGUUAGGGCGAAGGCGAGGAACGCAAGGCAAGAACAUGGUGGACCCAAUUGCAGGGAAGCAGGGAGGCAAGGCAGGAGUGCGGGAAUCUCAAAAUAAUAAUAUUUAAUCACAAUGAUAAAAACAAAGGAAAACAAAGAUCAUGAAAAAGUCUAAAUGCUAAAUUAACAAAGUCCAAAAUCUAAACACAAAGUAACAAAGAAACACUUGAGUGAACCCAAAACAAGAAACAAGACAUGACUGGUGAAAUACCUGAGCGACAAUGACAUGGCAAGACAUGUGACAACGACAACUGGCAACUAUGAAAUGGCAAAGACUUGACAACGACAACUGGCAACUAUGACAUGACAAAGACGUGACAACGACAAUGAACCGACGAGAACUGAAAGAAACCAGGGAACUAAAUACAAACAAAUUGACGAGACAACGAGGAACACCUGGACAAGACGAGUGGCUAGAGGGAGCUGAUUGGUCGACACAAAGUAGACGAGAACAGGUGGACACAACAACCUAAUAAGCACACGACAAACAUGGAACACAGGAAAACAUUGAACAAAACUAAACACAACCCAAACCAAAACACAGACCAUGACACAUACGUCCGAAUCAGUACUCCCGCGGUAGUCGCCUAUCACGAUAGUAAUCCUGAUCUGUAUCUGGCGCCAAAUUUGCACAUGUGCAUCCUCACCGAAGACAUCCAUUACCUGUGUCCCAGUAAGCCGUUCAUCCUAGAUGUAGCAGAUGGGAUUUGUGGCCUGAAGCCCAUGAAGGAUGGGUCGCGUUGUAGAGCAGAAGCGACUACCAGGUUACUACUACUCACGCGGAAAUUGUUGGGUCUUCUGAACCAGUGCUCAGGUGCACGACCCAAAAUGUUCCAUAGGAAAAAACGACUGAACCCGAAAUUAACCCCAUACAGACAGGGGAGGAGGUCCUCCUUGACCUAAAUUGCCCACCGGACCUCUCUACCCCCUUUUGAAUCUAGACUAGGAUUCAGGCCCCCCGGCCCCCCCCCCCACCCUUUUUUUAAUCUAGACUAGGAUUCAGCUCUCCCCAAGUUUAGAACCUUUACUUGGCACCUUCCCUCUCCUUGAUUGAUUUGUCAGGUUCUACUCCUGACCGCUGUGCCCCCUAAGUGCCAAGUUGGAGCUAGGUACCUUUUCUUUCUCUUUCUUUCUCCCCCGUAGAGCCAUGUUGAGUUCUCCUCGUGUUUGUUUUGUUUUGUUUUUUGUGUGAUUUUUACUGAGAACUCUACACCUUGGUAAUGCUUGCCCUUAGUUUUAGCUACACCCAUGCCCCGUAUUUCUACUCUCACUGCCAUCCCAAUAGCCACACCUACACACAUCCAUCCACACACGUCAAUCCUGACCCUACACCCAUAUACACAUAUAGGCUGACCUUAUUUUGGAAGUUGCUAUGAACAACUGUUAUAACUGGUAACUGCAUUUUUGUGUGUGUUCCUGCCAACCUGUGCCAUCUUUCAACGAGACUUCGCCUACAUCCGCCAUCGAGCCGGAUCCAGCCGCCGAAGGGGGGAUAUGCAGCGGAUAUGCCACGCAAAAGAUGCCACCCGGCACCCCAGCCUCGCACUACCGCCGCUCCCCGCUGAGUGAAUCAAGGCUGCCUGGCCCUUCAAAACGGAGACCCAAGGAUGCCGAGUUUUCCCCCGGACGCUAAGUUAAUUAACUCCCCGCCAGUCGAAGGAUUGCACCCACAAAGGCGCCUCCAACCUGUUGACUACUGUCACUUGGGAGUUGGAACAGGCAACAGCGACACCCACGGGCGAACGGAAUGACACUACAGACAUGGGUUCAUAAGACAGUCUGUGUCUCGAAUGGGAGUUAAUAUUUUAAGAACUUUACAUGAACGGCACUAGUGACUGUAGUGCUGCAAACCUGAAUGUCUAACGUUGAAUAUGUUGUUAACUGAACCAGAUGUAAUGUUCUCCACACCACACAACAUUUGAAACAGUCAUUACAGGUAUAAAAGAGGAUGAGCGUGGAACAAUGCAGGUUGAGGAGAUGGUCUCGUUAUCUUAAAUCCAAUAAUUGAUAUUUUAUUCCACUGGUUUUAAACCACAAAAUAAUCCUAAAAUGGAAAAAUAACACCAAAAGGCAGUCCAGCCCUUCAGUGUUCGCAAAGGGGGUAGAAAAGGAGGGGUGGGUAAACACCAUAAAAGGGGCAGGGAUCAAGAAAAAAGCUUUUGGGAGUUUUGGUGGAGAAGUUUUUCUUUGGUCACCUCGACCAACUCGCCAACGACCAGGCCAGGCAGGACGCCCACUUCACCCGAGGUGGCAAGGACACAUCGGAUGAUUCCCGGCUGCAGCUUCCUACAAGCGCUCCGAGCCACCCUGCUUGGGGGCCCGAAGUCAGUCCGAGGGGACGGAGGCGGGCGCCCGCUCCGAACGUCUGGAAAACACAGACACCCGAGAGACGUCCUGCCUGGGAACUUGUUGGCCUCCUGCUUUUCCUCCUUUUUUUCCUUCCUCCCUUCCAUCAAAUCCACCUGUACCCGGUGCGGACCGGACCGGCUGGACACUCGGGAGCCUGACUCGCCUACCUCAAACGUGUUCCAGACACGUAAAUCCAACAUUGCGGUCUACUAAAAGUACGGAUUAGUGCAUAUUUGGGUUUAUAUUAAUGAGACCAGGAGUCCUCAGCUAUACGCAUUCACUACACGCCCAUUCUGCUCAUCUCACGUCACAAAUCCCUUCCUUCGCCAAUGUUCAUCUGUACCUUGUUUGUUUUGUGUUUGUCUGAGUUUUAUCCUGUAGAAACCCCUUUUUAUUAUUACAUUUUCUAUAAAAUUCA